rnacentral:rRNA from 1 species
GGGUGCGAUCAUACCAGCAUUAAUGCAACGGAUCCCAUCAGAACUCCGCAGUUAAGCGCGCUUGGGCCAGAGUAGUACUGGGAUGAGUGACCUCCCAGGAAGUCCUGGUGUUGCACCCU